GAUGAACGCUAGCGGCAGGCCUAAUACAUGCAAGUCGAACGGGAUCCAGAUCAAAGCUUGCUUUGGUCUGGUGAGAGUGGCGCACGGGUGAGUAACACGUGAGUAACCUGCCCUUGACUUUGGGAUAACUUCAGGAAACUGGGGCUAAUACCGGAUAGGAGCUCCUGCUGCAUGGUGGGGGUUGGAAAGUUUCGGCGGUUGGGGAUGGACUCGCGGCUUAUCAGCUUGUUGGUGGGGUAGUGGCUUACCAAGGCUUUGACGGGUAGCCGGCCUGAGAGGGUGACCGGCCACAUUGGGACUGAGAUACGGCCCAGACUCCUACGGGAGGCAGCAGUGGGGAAUAUUGCACAAUGGGCGGAAGCCUGAUGCAGCAACGCCGCGUGCGGGAUGACGGCCUUCGGGUUGUAAACCGCUUUCGCCUGUGACGAAGCGUGAGUGACGGUAAUGGGUAAAGAAGCACCGGCUAACUACGUG
rnacentral:rRNA from 1 species